rnacentral:rRNA from 1 species
UACGGAGGGUGCGAGCGUUGUCCGGAAUCACUGGGCGUAAAGGGCGCGUAGGCGGCGCGGGGAGUCAACGGUGAAAGCUCGGCGCUCAACGCCGAGUCGGCCGUCGAUACUCCCGUGCUCGAGCACUGUAGAGGCAGGUGGAAUUCCGGGUGUAGCGGUGGAAUGCGUAGAGAUCCGGAAGAACACCGGUGGCGAAGGCGGCCUG